rnacentral:rRNA from 1 species
AUGGACCUGGUGGGAUCACUGCUGAUAAACAUGACCCGCUGGGUUGACCCUUCUGGGGUUGAAUUCUUCGGGUGGCUCAUCACUGCCGGUUCCUUUGGCCUGGCGGCGCUCAUCUACGGUCUCCUCAGGCUGCAGAGGGAGGCGUCGCUCUACUGGCUCAAGGCGGCCGCCAGGGAGAAGAAGGCAGCGUCGAAGGUGCUACGGUGCCCCUGCUCAAGCCAUACCUGGACCGAGGACUGCUUCCGUGGUGGCCAACCUUCGACGUGCUGUGUGUGCCUGUCGUCGCUGGCCUUGCCUCAGGGUGUAGGCUUGAGGGCCCUUGACGCUGAUGUUGUUUACCGGUGCUCUGUGUGCGGAGUGGCGGCUCAUUGGUACUGCUCGCAGGGCGCUGACAAGGACUGCAAGUGUGUCACGCAGGCUGGUGCUUCCACUUUGCUGCAUCACUGGUCGGAGAGGUGGGUGGAGAUGGACGAUAACCCGGCGAUAACAACCUUCUGUUAUUACUGCGAUGAGCCCUGUGGUGUGCCAUUCCUUGGCGUCUCUCCUAUAUGGCGCUGUCUGUGGUGCCAGAGGCAGAUCCAUGUUGAUUGUCAUGCAAAGCUGUUGAAGGAGACGGGGAACACUUGUGAUCUUGGCCUGCUCAGUAGACUUAUUGUUCCACCUCUAUCGGUGAAACAAGUUGGCCAAGGUCCGGCAACCAGUGGAGCGUUCAACUCAAUCAAAGAAGGGUUUGUCACUUCUUCAGUUAGGGGUCGGAUUAGAAGGCCACGCAGCAAGAAACGCAUGAACAAUCAGUCUGGCAUUAAGACAACUGCGAUUUCCACAGACAGUUCAAUUCUCGACUCCGUUCUUGAAGGAUUUGCUAGACUGCAGAACCUGAAUGGAAAGUAUACUCUGGCAAACCCCAAGUUCUCUGGAAACACUCUCAAGCAAACAUGUGGAUCUGACAUUACUAAUGGAGAGGAAAAGAAGUAUGAGCUUGUAGAUAUGCCACAAGAUUCGAGGCCGCUGCUUGUUUUCAUCAACGGCAAGAGUGGUGGCCGUAACGGGUCUUCUCUUAGAAGAAGAAUGAACAUGCUGCUGAAUCCCAUACAGAUAUUUGAGCUUAGCGCUUCUCAGGGUCCUGAAGUUGGAUUGCAACUAUUCCAGAAUGUAAAACACUUCAGAAUUCUUGUUUGUGGUGGGGAUGGAACUGUGGCAUGGGUUCUUGAUGCCAUAGAGAAACAGAACUAUGAAUCCCCUCCCCCGGUUGCCAUUCUUCCACUAGGAACAGGAAAUGACCUAUCGCGUGUUACCCGCUGGGGUGGAGGUUUGUCUUCUGUUGAAGGACAAGGGGGAAUAUGUGCACUUUUAAAUGACGUUGAUCACGCAGCAGUUAUGGUUCUUGAUCGCUGGAAUGUAACCAUCAAAGAGAAGAAUGGGCCACAAGGUCAAUGCAUCAAGCAAGUGAAAUUUAUGACUAAUUAUCUAGGUAUUGGAUGUGAUGCCAAGGUUGCAUAUGAUUUCCACACAACUAGGGAGGAAAGGCCAGAUAAAUUUAGCAGUCAGUUUGUGAACAAGCUGAUAUAUGCUAGAGAAGGCGCUAAGGAUAUGAUGGAUAGGUCAUGUUCUGAUUUACCAUGGCAUGUUAGCCUUGAAGUUGAUGGAAAGAACAUUGAAAUUCCAGAGGAUGCAGAAGGUGUGAUCAUUCUGAAUAUCGCUAGCUACAUGGGUGGUGUUGAUCUUUGGCAAAACGACAAUGAUUAUGAUGAUGAUUUCAGUUCACAAUCAAUGCAUGACAAAAUGCUGGAGGUGGUCUGUAUAUCUGGGACAUGGCAUCUAGGCAAACUGCAGGUAGGACUAUCGAGAGCACACCGACUAGCCCAAGGAAGAGUCAUAAGAUUUCACCUGCACAGUUCAUUCCCUGUUCAGGUUGAUGGUGAACCAUGGAUUCAGCCACCUGGGUGCCUUGAGAUAUCUCACCGUGGACAGAUGUUCAUGUUGAGGAGGCCAUCUGAAGAGCUCACUGGGCAUGCUGCGGCAGUCAUGAGUGACGUCCUCGUGAACGCUGAGUGCAAUGGUGUUAUUGACGCUGCUCAGAAGAGAUUGCUCCUCCACGAGAUAGCACUCCGUUUAUCCUCCUGA